rnacentral:rRNA from 1 species
GACGAACGCUGGCGGCGUGCUUAACACAUGCAAGUCGAACGAAGUGGCGAACGGGUGAGUAAUACGUGGGUACCCUGCCCUCCUUUUUGGGAUAAGACUUGGAAACGGGGUAUAAUACCGAAUAAAGGGGGCUGGGCGCGGGGCCUAACAGCUUGUUGGUGGGGUGAUGGCCUACCAAGGCGGUGACGGGUAGCCGGCCUGAGAGGGUGCUCGGCUGCAUGGGUGCUGAGAUACGGCCGAGCUGCGUACGGGAGGAAGCUGUGGGGUGUGGUGGACGAUGGGCGAAAGGCUGAUGCAGCGACGCCGUGUGGGGGAUGAAGGCGGUCGGGUUGGAAACCUCUUGCGCUAUCGAACGGGUAGGUGGUGAAGAAGCGCCGGCUAACUACGUGCCAGCAGCCGCGGUAAUAC